UACGUAGGGGGCAAGCAUUAUCCGGAUUUACUGGGUGUAAAGGGAGCGUAGACGGCAGUGCAAGUCUGGAGUGAAAGGCGGGGGCUCAACCCCCGGACUGCUCUGGAAACUGUACGGCUGGAGUGCAGGAGGGGUAAGUGGAAUUCCUAGUGUAGCGGUGAAAUGCGUAGAUAUUAGGAGGAACACCAGUGGCGAAGGCGGCUUACUGGACUGUAACUGACGUUGAGGCUCGAAAGCGUGGGGAGCAAACAGG
rnacentral:rRNA from 1 species